ACGCUGACAGCUCGCUCGUUGAUUUGGAGUCGGUCGAUCGUUAUUUUCGUUAAAUAUCCGUCACUGGCCAACUUAUUUGGACCCGGUCGCGCAUUGACAGCGAUCUCUCUAGGCAGCUCUACCCCAGUGCUAUACAAAACCGACUUCUAAAGAGAAUCUGGUGGAAUAGCUUCUAGUCUUGUGCUCUCAGGACUAACACAACAGAGCUCACCGAAUGGCGACCACAUCUCUCAAAAUGGGGAGCAGGAACUUUUCUGAAGAAACAGUUCCAGAUAAGUGUUGAUGAGACACACAUUAACGCCAUCUUGUUGUGUACCGUUGUCUUACAAAAAAUAGAUAUCACAUUUUAAUAAAAGGAUCCUCAUCGUAUUUUGAUUUAUCUAAGGUGUAUGAUAUGUGGGUCGUUUCAAUGAGCAUUUCUUCCCAGUUUUGUUUGGUUUUUUCCUAUUCACAAGAGCCCCUGCAUUAUUGACUUGGCUCCUCUUUUUUAUAGCCCAUGUAAGGACUUGUUUGUUCCCCACUUUGAAAAAGAUGAGCAGACAUUCACAGGAGGUAAAUAAAGAG
ensembl:lncRNA